CCAAAACCCAAAACCCAAACCGAUUGAAUUAUAGCCGCAAUUCAAGUCAGCAAAACCCUAAAUAUUCUUCUAUCAUCCCCUACAAAACCCUAACCCCUCUUUUCAAUUUCAUCACCCCUCUAAUUCUCUAUCCUCUCAGCAUUCCGCUCUUCUAUCAAAUCCCCGCUUAAAUCCCCUGAAUUAGGUUUCUGGUAUUCAUAUCGACGGAAAGUUCAACAACAAAUGCAAAUUCGUCGGAAUUUUUAGCGUCGGAAAGUUUUUCAAUUGCAAUAUCUUCCUUUUGGUUGAUAAUGAGAUGUACAGGGAUUGCUUGUUUUCUGUUAUGCUAGUUGGAAGCAUAUUUGUGCAUAGGCUGUGAAUGUGUAUUGGUUGAGAAUUGCCUGAAGAAAAUGACAGAUGCUGCUGAAGCUUGAAAGCGGAUUUCUUUUUAAUGCGGAUGAGGCUCUGGUUGCUAUUGAAGGAUGUUCUUCAUUUGUAGUUUACCAUGUAAUUUUAUAGAUUAGACUUUUGUUUGUGUUAAUUUUGUAGUGUAAAAUACUGUUGAGCAUUUUGAAGAAUUGUUACAAGCUUCAAUUUCUACUACAUAUUAAUGUAAAAACUUUGUACUCCGUAUUAUUCAAUACAAUCUCCUAAUUUUUUCAA